rnacentral:rRNA from 1 species
AUUGAACGCUGGCGGCAGGCCUAACACAUGCAAGUCGAGCGCGAAAGCACUUCGGUGUGAGUAGAGCGGCGGACGGGUGAGUAAUGCUUGGGAAUCUGCCCCAGUAGUGGGGGAUAACGUGUGGAAACGCACGCUAAUACCGCAUACGUCCUACGGGAGAAAGCAGGGGAUCUUCGGACCUUGCGCUAUUGGAUGAGCCCAAGUCGGAUUAGCUUGUUGGUGGGGUAAUGGCCUACCAAGGCGACGAUCCGUAGCUGGUCUGAGAGGAUGAUCAGCCACACUGGGACUGAGACACGGCCCAGACUCCUACGGGAGGCAGCAGUGGGGAAUAUUGCACAAUGGGCGAAAGCCUGAUGCAGCCAUGCCGCGUGUGUGAAGAAGGCUCUAGGGUUGUAAAGCACUUUCAGUAGGGAGGAAAAGCUUAAGGUUAAUAACCUUGAGCCCUGACGUUACCUACAGAAGAAGCACCGGCAAACUCCGUGCCAGCAGCCGCGGUAAUACGGAGGGUGCGAGCGUUAAUCGGAAUUACUGGGCGUAAAGCGCGCGUAGGUGGUUUGAUAAGCUAGCUGUGAAAGCCCCGGGCUCAACCUGGGAACUGCAGUUAGAACUGUCUGACUAGAGUACAGUAGAGGGUGGCGGAAUUUCCUGUGUAGCGGUGAAAUGCGUAGAUAUAGGAAGGAACAUCAGUGGCG